GAAUUACUAACGACGCCGAAAAUUUCGAUUGUACAUACAACGUACAGUUUAACAGUGUUCAUCCACCGAUAUUUCUUGUUAUAAAUAUCCUUAUGGAAAAUCAGGCAGAAAUAGUUACCGAAUUAUAAACCGUUUUCAAAGGAAUAAAUAAGCCGAUAUCAAAAGAAGAAAGAAAGACAAUUUAAUUUAUUAAUAAAGAACACGAGGAGUACGUAAAAAAUAAAACCUUAAGUUAUUUAAGAAAUUGUAAUUUUAAUACUUGAAAAUCUAAAACCCUUAGCGUGUAACAAUUAGCAAGAAACGACAAUAAUAUCAAAUUGGCACCAUAGAAUUUAUUAUUUAAUAUAUAUAUAUAUAUAUUCAUGUCAUAAUAACAGUAUUUAAAGUCGACCGAUUAAUUUAAAUAGCCUACGAUGUAGGCUGGGGUC